GAUGAACGCUGGCGGCGUGCCUAAUACAUGCAAGUCGAGCGAACGGACGAGAAGUUUGCUUGUCUGAUGUUAUCGGCGGACGGGUUAGUCACACGUGUAUAAACUACCUAUAAGACUGGGAUAACUUCGGGAAAUCGGAGCUAAUACCGGAUGAUAUUUUGAACAGCGUUGUUCCAACGUGGAAGACGGUCUUUCUGUGGCUAAUGGAUGGCCACGCGCUGAAUUCGUUAGGUGGUAGAGUAACUGAUUACCAAGGCUACGAUGCAUAGCCGCCCUGAGAGGGUGAUUGGCUACAUGGGAACUGAGGCACGGUCCAGACUCCGACGGGAAGCAGCAGUAGGGAAUCUUCCGCAAGGGGCGAAAGCCGAAUGUAGGAAAGCCGCGGCAAUGAUGAUGUACUUCGGAUCGGAAAACGCUGUUAUCAGGGAAGAACAUAUGUGUAAGUAACUGGGCAGAUCUUGACGGUACCUAAACAGAAAGCCACGGCUAACUCCGUG
rnacentral:rRNA from 1 species